GGGGCUGUAGCUCAGUGGCAGAGCUUACCUUGCAUGUGUGAGGCACCAAGUUCGAUCCUCAGCACCA
rnacentral:tRNA from 1 species